rnacentral:snRNA from 1 species
GGAUGUGAGGGCAUUCUGGCUGUGAUUUCUGUCCCCAGUGAUCACCAGGCUGAUCUGGCUGGCUAGGCGGGUGUGCCCUCCUUCUGCACUUCUCCAUGUGAGUCCCUCCUAAAGCUGCACACUUGGUCAAAGAGGACAAGAGUACCAUCUUCCAAUACAGAGGAGGACCAUUUCUUUGGUCAAGGGCAAAGGAGUAGCUGCAGUCUUCUGCUAGAACUGCCAAACAAGCAAACUCUUUGAAGUUCUUUGCUAGGACUGCAAUGGUACAGGAAGGAUGCGUGGAAGGUGACUACAAGAUCCUGAACAGAAUUCUCA